CAUAACGUCGCAAGACCAAAGAGGGGGACCUUCGGGCCUCUUGCCAUCGGAUGUGCCCAGAUGGGAUUAGCUUGUUGGUGGGGUAACGGCUCACCAAGGCGACGAUCCCUAGCUGGUCUGAGAGGAUGACCAGCCACACUGGAACUGAGACACGGUCCAGACUCCUACGGGAGGCAGCAGUGGGGAAUAUUGCACAAUGGGCGCAAGCCUGAUGCAGCCAUGCCGCGUGUAUGAAGAAGGCCUUCGGGUUGUAAAGUACUUUCAGCGGGGAGGAAGGGAGUAAAGUUAAUACCUUUGCUCAUUGACGUUACCCGCAGAAGAAGCACCGGCUAACUCCGUGCCAGCAGCCGCGGUAAUACGGAGGGUGCAAGCGUUAAUCGGAAUUACUGGGCGUAAAGCGCACGCAGGCGGUUUGUUAAGUCAGAUGUGAAAUCCCCGGGCUCAACCUGGGAACUGCAUCUGAUACUGGCAAGCUUGAGUCUCGUAGAGGGGGGUAGAAUUCCAGGUGUAGCGGUGAAAU
rnacentral:rRNA from 1 species